rnacentral:rRNA from 1 species
GAUGAACGCUGGCGGCGUGCCUAAUACAUGCAAGUCGAGCGAAUGGAUUAAGAGCUUGCUCUUAUGAAGUUAGCGGCGGACGGGUGAGUAACACGUGGGUAACCUGCCCAUAAGACUGGGAUAACUCCGGGAAACCGGGGCUAAUACCGGAUAACAUUUUGAACCGCAUGGUUCGAAAUUGAAAGGCGGCUUCGGCUGUCACUUAUGGAUGGACCCGCGUCGCAUUAGCUAGUUGGUGAGGUAACGGCUCACCAAGGCAACGAUGCGUAGCCGACCUGAGAGGGUGGUCGGCCACACUGGGACUGAGACACGGCCCAGACGUCUACGGGAGGCAGCAGUAGGGAAUCUUCCGCAAUGGACGAAAGUCUGACGGAGCAACGCCGCGUGAGUGAUGAAGGCUUUCGGGUCGUAAAACUCUGUUGUUAGGGAAGAACAAGUGCUAGUUGAAUAAGCUGGCACCUUGACGGUACCUAACCAGAAAGCCACGGCUAACUACGUGCCAGCCGCCGCAGUAA